rnacentral:lncRNA from 1 species
GUCUCAUUGUGUUGCCCAGGCUGGUCUUGGACUCCUGAGCUCUAGCAAUCCUACCGCCUCUGCGUCCCAAACUGUUGGGAUUACAGACGUGAGCCACUGCACCUAGCCUAUUUCUUUCCCUUUUUGUCUCUUUUCAAUUUUUUUUUUAAACAAAAAGAGCAGUCUCUUUGAUCCAGAGCUUCAUGGGAGGGAAAAGCAAGUUGAUUGAAGGAAAAAUCUGUGGUCCGGGGAGAUGUUCCAAAUCCUGGAGGUGGAGAGGAAUGAAUGACGUUUGUGGCUUGCAGAUCAACUCCCCGCAGCGGGCGUGACGUCAUUGCAGCCAAAAUUGUCCUCCACGCACUGCUACGGCAGAGGAGCAACAAGCUGGAUGAGCAGCAGAUGAGUGAUGUCUCCUCAGUGACCACCAGGAUUUCCUCUCCAGGGACAGCCUUCAUUUCCUGCUCACUCUGCCUGGCGCAUCGCAGCCUUGGCCCCAUUUAACAGGUGAGGAAACUGAGACUCUAGGCAGCAUUCCCAUGCCUGGAACCAUCAGCUCCAACUUCCCCAGGCCCUGCUACCCUCUAGGUGGGAGAGAAUUCUAGGAGCCCUUGGCCUACCUGGGAGGAUGACUUGGGGUCCUGAAGACUUGGCCACCUCUUCCAGGAAGUCUUCCUGUCUUGAGCUGGCCGGGAACCUUUCUCCUCUGAAUCCUGC